rnacentral:lncRNA from 1 species
GGCAAGUCGGCAAAAGAAAAGUCAAACGAGGGUAAAAAGGUAAUCCGGAUCUCCAUAAAUACAAAGCUGAAAGCUUCGCCGCCUAACAAAAGAAAAAGGUAAUCCGGAUCUCCAUAACUUCGCCGCCUAACAAAAGAAAAAAAAGCUCAGUGUUGGGUUCAACCUUUUUUUAGAAAAGAAAGCUCAGUGAGGAAGAAUGAGGGGAGAGGAAGCUUGGGAAUUUCUUAAGGGUGGUUACCUCUUCCUUUUGCCCAAUGAUUUCUCCAUCAACAAAUCGAUAACAACCCUUCAAAUGUAUAUAUAUAUGUAUGUAUAAUCUCUCUCAAACAAGGGCUAAAAGAGUAGAGAUGGGAAAAUUGCACUGCGGUACCAAACCUAUUGAUAUCUCUGUCAAUCUCCACUGCAAUAUUUGGAGUAACUGUUGGCAAAUAAAGAGGCUGUGAUGAUUUUUCUUUAAGUCUUCUGAGCUAAUGAAUCGGGGAAAGAGAUAAACUGACCCGUAUCUUGGCGAGGCAAUCCGGACGGCGUGUGAUUUGAGGUUUUUUAUACUCUCUCUCUUGCGCACGCAACUGAUGAUUUGCAGCCAUGGCGGGUACGCCUUUCUCUUUGUCCGAUCAAAAUACAGAUCUGAGCCACAAGAUAUUCUUUUUUAGGGAUUCAGAUUUCGAUGGGUAGCUGUAGUGAAAUUGGUUUCACAAGUUCCUUUUUCCCAUUUAUUUAAACAAAGUAUCUAUUUCUGGGAAAUGGAUGGUAAUUAAUUUAUUUUUUCUUUUUUUCUUUAUUAUUAUUAUUAUUAUUUUAUUAUUAUUAUUAUUAUUUUUUACUUUGAUAUCGGCAUAUUUAUUUUUUCAUUUUUAAGUAUUUUAUUGGGUAGCUGUAAUUUUUUUUGUGUGAUUUUCCAAUUUAAUUUAAUGAAACAGCUUUUGUUUACUUCUGGAAAAUAGUGGAGGAUUUAUUUAUUUUUAUUGUUUAGCGGUGUUGAAUUGGACAAAUGUGCCAGUUUGAUGAUACUGUAAAUUUGCUAGAAAGUGCAAAACUUUUAAAUGUGAAUAAUAAAAUUAAUAUCAUACAUGUCUCGAGUGUAAUGGGGUGCAAGUGGUUCGGUUAAUCGAUUUUUAAACAAAAUCGUUUAAAAUAAUUUGGGAAAAUUUAGAUUUAGUCAAAUUAUUUAAAAUGUUUAAGAUUUUUUCAAACCUUAAUUUAAAAGUGUGGUUCGGCUUUCAAUGGCGAUUUAUACGCUUUAGGGUACCUUUAAUUGUAAGUAUGGAAUUUGCAUGGAAAUAAAAUACAUUCAAUUGUCUCGAAUUUAUUUGUAUGAAAAUUGUUAAUUAAAUAUAUUUGAUUAAUUUAAUUUUUAACAUAGAAAAUAUUACAUUUGUUCGAUUUUUAUUUGUGGGUAGAUAAGAGAGUUUGAAAAGAUGAGGGAUAGAAAGAGAGUGAAUUUUUUGAAAAACAAAAUUAUUUUUUUUGAUUUUGAGAAAAAUAUAAUUAUACGGUUAAAAAUAGAAAAAUAUUUUUCAUGUAAAAAAUAUCAAUUAAACAGUAUAAAAGUAGGAAUUUGAGUGAAAAAAUAUAUUUUUCAUGAAAAAUAUUGAUAAUUAAACAUACCUUUAGAAGUGACAAAAAUUCUUGUUGGGCUUGAUCCCUUGAGACCAGCCUCGAAGAGGAUAAGAAUUCCCCACUUAUAAUUUGGGUUGCCAUCAUUUUUAUUAUAAAAAUUGAAAAAUAAAAUAAAAUUACCUAAUAAGGUUUAUCAUGAAAAUCAUUAAAAAACAAUCGACAGUGAAGAGUAGUAAUGGGAAAUUAUGUAUAAAUAAUAAAUACACUCAUUCAAAUCUUACAAUGGAGGCCCUACCUAAUGUGAUGGAAAAAAUUAAUUCUAAUUGGUCCCCAGGGCAUAUCUCCAAGUGGUAAAAGGGGAGGGUGGAGAAAUUCAGCUUUGCUUGAGGCUGCUACGUCGAGGGUUCGAAUCCUGAAAUAUGGAUUUGGCUCUUGGGUAAGUGCAAGUAUACAAGCAGCCUUCCACCCUGUACCCUUGAAGGCAUAACCUGCGAUUUACCUUCCUCACGAUGCUCCAUGGUAGGGGUGGUGGUGGACCCUUAAGGUUAGGGUUUAACCUUUUUAAAAAUUAAUUCUAAUUGAAUUAAUGGCGUCCAAACAGGCUUAGCCCUUAUUUGAUCUCCAUUUUUUCAAAAUACAUUUUUCUCUUUUUUUUUUUUGCAACCACACAUUCCUCAAUAAAUAAUAUUAUAUGUAAAUUCAAAUUUUUUAUUUUAUUUUUUAACCACACAUUCUCUAUUAAUUUAUUAUUAAAAAAUGCACUCUUGAAAAAUAAUGUGGCUCAAACAAGCCUUUCAUGUUAUUGAUUAUUAAAUGUUUUCAUACUUUAUCAAUGAUUAUAAAAAAUAAAUAAAUAAAAAAUAUUCUCUCUCCCUCUCAAUUUAAAAAUAAAAAUAAAGUCACAAUAAAAUCUAGUAUCAUGAAUUUUUUACUUCUGAAUGCUUGCGGCAUGAACACCGAGUUCCUGUUUGACGACCAUUAUUUGAAAUUAUUUUUUCUAUAUACUUAUUUUCAAUCAUAUAUUCACACAAUAAAAUAUUUUAUAUUUAUAUUCAAAACUUUUUUUUAUUACUAUACAUUUUCUUAAAAAUCAUUAAUCAAAAAUAUAUAUUUUUUUCCUAAUAAUAGCCGGCUAAAAAUGACAAGAGGAUUUGGACUUCGGCGUGUGCCAGGUGGAUUGAUCGGUAAUGGGAUAUGAAAUUAGGGUAUUAUUGGUGUUUUUUAAUGUAUCUCCGGCCCAUGUUAGGCAAUCAUAAUAUUUUUGUUACAUUUUACCGCUGCCACAUCAGAAAUAAAAGGUUAGUAAUUUAUCGCCAAUUUAAGAAUUUUUUUCUAUGAAAAAUAAUAAAUAACUUUCUGAGUUUCAAUUUACAAAAAUUGGCAUCCCACAUUUGUGAUUAUAAACAUUUUUUUUUUUACAUAUAAUUAAUUUUUUCUUGUAAAAUAAUUAUUUUAUAGGGGUAAAAUGUUGAAAUUAAUUGACAAUAAAUGAUUAAAAAAUAGCUUUUUUUUUUAUAGUGUGAUAAAAAUUAAAUGUGCUGAAUAAAAGUUUUAAUUUGAGCUUGGGAAAACAUAGUACAGAAAAUAUUCUGAAUUUUAAGAUCAGAAAAUUUCAUUUUGUUUUAUAUCAAUCGGUUAAUAAAUAAUUAAUUUCGAACAGAUUUAAGAAACCCAGAAUGAGGGAGAUAGAAAUCCGAGUUCAAAAUAAAAGGAACAAGUAAAAUCCAAAUCAUAAACCAACAUCCUUGAUCACAAAAUCAAUUCACGAGCAGACUUAUGUUCAGAUCUCAAUUUUACAUUUUCAGUAUCUUUUUUUUUUUUUUUUGGGGUAACCACCCUUAAGAAAUCCAUUCCUCUCUAAGAUUUAGCCUCAUUCUUAAACUUACUGAAUAUUGAUACAUUCGGCUGCUAUUUAUAGUUCACUUGCGCCGAACCCUAGUAAAGACUAAGUCGGGAAAUGCCCUCAAAGGAAGAAUGAGGGAAGAGGAGAAGAUUGGGACCCAAUGAUUUUUUUUUUUUCAUUUAAAAAAUUACUUAAAAAAAACAUUUUUCACCCUACAUAGUACAUACUCCUCUGUUCCCAAUUAAAAAUUAGAAGAAAAUAAAAAAACUAAGAUAUCGAGAAUUACCAGGAUACCCCUUCCAUCCUCUCUCCUGAUAGUUGGGUUGGCUGCAAAAAAGUAGUCAAAGCGAGGGUAAAAAGGACAUCGGGUCGCUAUAAAUAAGAAAGCUUCAGCCACAGACUAAAAGCUUGAGCUUAGAAGGGAAGAAUGAGGGGAGAGGAAGAUUGGGAAUUUCUUAAGGGUGGUUACGCCUUCCUCUUUACCCUAUGAUUUCUCCAUAAAAAUUCACUAACAACCCUUGAAUCGACGCAUUUCUGUCUGUCUAUAUAUAUAUAUACACAUUAGAAAUGCACGAAGAGAGAAAGAGAAAAUGAAAAAUUGGAAAUUAGCGCUUAACGUCCCAAACCUAUUCGUAAGUGUGUGUCAACCACUCUUUGUUUCAGUGACUGGUAAUGUUUCCGAGUUCAAUAAUGGGGGCUGUGAUGAUAUUUCUUCAAUCUUCUGAGCUUGUGAAUCGGGCAAAGAGAUGACCCGACCCGUAUCUUGGCUGGGCAACCCGAAUGGCGUGUGAUUUGAGGGUUUUUAAACUCUCUAUUGCACUUGCAACCGGAGAUUUGCAGCCAUGGCGUGGCCGCCGUUCUCAUGUCCGACUUUAAACAGAUCUGAGCCUCAAAACUAUUUUUAGCACAAUUAUUUAUCACUUUUUUCUUU